GCUGCACCUACAGCAUACAGAAGUUCCCAGGCCAGGAAUAAAAUCCAAGCCGCAGCUGCGACCACUAUAGUUGUGGCAACACCAGAUCCUUAACCCACUGCACGAGACUGGGGAUCAAACCCAUGCCACCGCAGAGACAAGGCUGGAUCCCUAACCUGUUCCACAACAGGAGCUCCUCCUAUCCUUCUCCUAUUGAUUUAUAGUUUGAUUCCAGUGGUGGUCGGAGAACAUAUUCUUUGAUUCAGUUCUUUUAAAUUAGUUGAGAUUGGUUUUAUGGUCUAGGCUAUGGCCUAUGUUGGUAUAUGUUGGGGGGAGAGUAAAGUAUAUUCUGCUGUUGUUGGGUAGAGUGUUCUGUAAAUGUUGACAGGGUCCAUCCUAUUGGUUGAUGGUGUUGAAUUCUUUAUCUUUGCUGAUUUUCUGUCUAGUCGUUCUAUCAGUUGUUGAGAGAGUGGGUAUUGAAGCAUCUAAAUCUAACUGUGGAUUUGUCUACUUCUCUUUUUAAUUCAGUUCAUUUUUGCUUCAUUUGUUUUUCAGCUCUUUUGUUUGGGGCAAAUGCAUUUAGCAUUGCUGUCUUCUUGGUGGAUUGGUCCUUUUAUUAUUAUAUAAUGAUCUUCUUGGUCUCUGGAAAUUCUUUGUUCCGAAGUUAGCUUUAUCUGACAUUAAUACAACCACCCCUGCUUGGUUAAUAUUUGCGUGGUAUAACUUUUCCCAUCCUUUUAACUUGCCUACACACACACACACACACACACACACACACACACACACACAAUCUGACUAGUGUAUCCACUAGUGGUUAAGGAUCUGGCAUUGCCAUGAGCUGUGGUGUAGGUCGCAGAUGUGGCUCAGAUCUCACGUUGCUGUGGCUGUGGCAUAGGCUGGCAGCUGCAGCUAUGAUUUAACCCCUAGCCUGGGAACUUCCAUAUGCUGUGGGUGCCGUCCUAAAAAGAAAAAAAUAAUAACAUUUUUUUUUUUUCUCCUCAUGAUGAGAACUCUUAGGAUUGGCUCUCCUAACAAGUUUUAUUGUUAUUCCUCCUUCCCUUUUCCCUCUUCUUUCUUUCUUGUUAUGAAAAGGACAGGCUUUAUUGAGCUCCCAGCCCUUUCUCCUGCAGUCUUGGUUCCCCAGAGAUGCCUGGUCUGGCGGGCAGCAAUGACACCCACUUUCCAGUUGGCAGGGGCAUCUCUGUGGAUGGUAGAGCGUUUGCCACCUCCGAAGGGAUGCUCCACAGGAUUCAUGGCCACACCAUGCACAUGUGGCCAGGAAUUCCUCCUUGCCUUAUAAUUGUGGUAGGUUGGCCAGCUUUCAGAACGGGCUUGUCAGCGCGGCCACCUCCAGCUACCACACCGACCACAGCCAUGUUAGCUGAGGAGAUGACCUUCUUAGAGCCUAGGGACAGCUUCACUGGGGUCUCCUGCAGCAUAUGGAAGUUCCCGGGGCUAGGGGUCCAAUCAGAGCUGUAGCUGCCAGCCUACACUGCAGCUUGUGGCAAUGCUGGAUCCUUAACCCACUGAGUGACAAGGCCAGGGAUCAAACCCACAUCCUCAUGGAUACUAGUUGGAUUCUUAACUUGCUGAGCCGCAAUGGGAACUCUGCACUCAGGCCUUCUUUGUCUUGGGGUUGCAGAAGAGGAUGGUAGCCUAGUUCCCAGAGUCUCUGGCCGGCUUUCCCCAGUCACCAGGCUUCUCCAGACACUACACCAUGGUGCCUCAGGCAUGGUGCCCACUGAGAGCACAAUGCCGAUGCUGAGCUGGGCAUUCUUGCACAAGCUGGCUGGUGUGGAUGCCUUCCUCUGCUUCUUAACAGGGUGCACCAGGUCAUAGAUGGUGUCCUUCACAAUGCCCUUGGUGUAGCUGUGUCACUUGGCAAAGCCCAUGCCCUUUUGGAGCUUCACGUGCGAAUGGAACACAGAGUUGGUGCCCUUCCUCUUCGCACAGACCAUGUAGCCCGUGGUUGCAGUCUGUUGCCCAGCAGGGCCGAAAGAGAAGUGGCCCGGCCCUUGAGAGCUGUCUUAAUCUUCCAGGACCUAUUAUUUUCUUUCUUGGUUGUACCCCUGGCAUUUGGAAGUUCUCUGGCCAGGGAACAAAUCCUGGCAGCAGCUAUAACCUAUGCCACAGCAGUGGCAAUGCCAGAUCCUUAACCCACUGCUCUGGGCCAGGGAUGAAACCUGCACCGCCGCAGAGACACCACAGGGUCCUUAACCUGCUGCACCACAGCAGGAACUCCUUAACAACAGUUAUAUAUCACACACAGCAGUGUUAAUUAUCUUUAUCAUGUUGUACACUACAUCCCUAGUACUUAGUUAUAACUGGAAGUUUGUACCUUUUGACUGUUUUUAUCCAAUUUCCUUUCUGUCUGCUGUAUCACUAUAUAUUUAAAGUGAGUUUCCUGUAGACUCACUUGAGUAUAUAGUUGGGUCACAUUUUUUUCAUCCACACUGCCAAUCUCUGUCUUGGUGUAUUUAGACCAUUUGCAUUUGAGGUAUUUAUUGGUACGUUAGAGCUUACGUCUGCCAUUUUAUUUUAUUUUUUAUUUUUAUUAUUAUUAUUUUUUGUCUUUUUGCCUUUUCUAGGGCCACUCCAAGGCAUAUGGAGGUUCCCAGGGUAGGGGUCUAAUCGGAGCUGUAGCCACCAGCCUACACCAGAGCCACAGCAACAUGGGAUCCAAGCCGCGUCUGCAACCUACACCACAGCUCACGGCAAUGCCAGAUCCUUAACCCACUGGGCAAGGCCAGGGAUCGAACCCGCAACCUCAUGGUUCCUAGUCGGAUUCGCCAACCACUGCGCCACGACGGGGACUCCUGCCAUUAUUUUUUGUUUGGUCUCUAUUUUCUCUUUCCUGCCUUCCUGAAGAUUACUUGAAUAUGUUUUAGAAUUACAUUUUGUUUUUGGGUUUAUCACUUUGUAUAGCUCUUUAAAAUUGGAUGCUGUAAGUAUUUUAUAACUUAGCACAGCCUACUGAUGUCAUCAUUUACCACUUUGAGUGAAGUACAGAAACCCUACCUCUCAUUGUGUUUCCUCACUCAUUUAUAAUUGUUUUACAUAUUUUCUCUACAUACCUUUAGAACCAGAUCAGACAAUGUUAUAAUUUUUCCAUCAAUUGUCAAAGAUAAUUUAGAAAACUCAAGAGGAACAGAAAGGUAUAUUGAUUUUUACCCAUAUUUUCACUAACCCUGCUAUUUCUUCCUUCCUGAUGCUGCAGGAUUUUUAUUGUUUCUGUUUAGAAAACUUCCUUUAACCAUUCUUUUAGAGUAUGUCUACUGGUGACAAACUUUUAGUUUUCCUUUGUCUGAGAGUUUCUUAAUUUUCCCCCUUAUUCCUGAAGGAUAUUUUUUUCUGGGUAUAGAAUUUAUGGGUCGACAGUCCUUUUCAUUCAGCAUUUGAAAAAGAGGGUACUGCUUCUUGCCUCUCCGGUUUCUGAUGAAAAAUCUGCUGUCAUUUGGGUUUUUUCUCCCUUGUAUGUAGUGUCAUUGUCCUCUAGCUGCUUGCAAGAUUUUUUUGUGUGUCUCUAGAUUUCAGAAGUUUAAUUUUAAUGUGUCUUGCCAUGGAUUUUUUUGGGUUUAUCUUGUUUGGAAUUUGCUUAGUUUCUUGAAUCGGUAUGUUAACAAAUUUGGGAAGUUUUCAACCAUUAUUCCUUUGUGUACCUUUUUUUUUUUUUUUUUUUUUUUAAGCUUCAUUCUCCUUUUCUUCUAUUCCAAUGACAGGAAUCAUAGUUUUGUUGGUUUUUUGUGUUUUUUUGUUUGUUUGCCUUUUGCUUUUUAGGACUGCAUCUGCAGCAUAUAGAGUUUCCCAGGCUAGAGGUCGAAUAAGAGCUACAGCUGCCAGCCUACGCCAGAGCCACAGCAAUGCCAGAUCUGAGCCGUGUCUGUGACCUAUAACACAGCUCACAGCAAUGCCAGAUCCUUAACCCACUGAGCCCCACUGAGCCAGGCCAGGGAUCAAACCUGUGUCCUCAUGGAUGCUAGUCAGAUUUGUUUCUGCUGAGCCAUGAUGGAAACUCCAAGAAUGUUAAAUCUUUUAAAAUUUUUAUUUUGGCAAUGCUUGUGGCAUGCAUAAGUUCCUGGGCCAGGGAUCAAACCUGUUGGCCAGCGACCUGAGCCACAGCAAUGACAACAUCUGAUCCUUAACUACUAGGUUGCCAGGGAACUCCAGGAACAUUAGAUCUUUUGUUAUAGGGAGUUCCCAUCGUGGCUCAGUGGUUGGCAAACCCAACUAGCAUCCACGAGGACUCAGGUUUGAUCCCUGGCCUUGCUCAGUGGGUUAAGGAUCUGGCAUUGCCAUGACCUGUGGUGUAGGUUGCAGAUGUGGCUCAGAUCCCGCAUUGCUGUGGCUGUGGCGUAGGCCAGUGGCUGCAGCUCCAAUUUGACCCCUAGCCUGGGAACCUCCAUAUGCCACUGGUGCAGCCCUAAAAAGACAAAAAAAAAAAAAAAAAGAAAAAA
ensembl:lncRNA